rnacentral:antisense_RNA from 1 species
CUUCAGCGAGCCGAGCCACAGUGGACGGUCCCCGGGGCGGCCUUGCCCGUAGGUGGCUAGCAGGGCUUGGGCUUC